rnacentral:misc_RNA from 1 species
UUGAUCAGUAGGUCUAUAUAGAUUCAACUCUUGAAAUCACCAUCCCUUGUGCAUUUUUAACUAUAUAUUACAAUCUGUCGUCAACCUAUACAAAAAAGCCCCAUCCAUAUUCGUCCCUUAGCACACCAGAGUUUGAAAUUAUCAAAGGGAAAAAAGCAGCAACCAUCAAACCUCAUUUCAGAGAUUGUAACCUAGUCACUGAAUUUGGCAAAAGUUGGAUCUAUAUAGACCUACUGAUCAAAAGUAGUAAAGUACUGAUUUCUCAAACUUUGUCAGGGACGGACCAGACGUAGGUAUGUUGAGCUACUGCUAGUGCUUGCCUGCUGCCCAUAACUUAAAGUUGGAUGAAGGAGCUCUGCCUGCGGAAAUGAGCCAUUGGAUGGCACAUGCAGUAGCAGAUCCUGAUCCGAACUUUCAUCAACAUAAUGGAAAGAAUCCAACAUGAGGGAGCCACUAUCAGGAGGCAAGGCAAAUAGGCUUCUUGGACUAAAGCAAGAGCCAUCAUUGUCCAUGACUUCUUUGUUUUCAUACGUAGCCUUCAUGUUAAUCCUUUUGGGGCUCUUCAUCACCUUUACAUCUGGAAUUUUUUGACCCAAGCUGUCAUGUAAUCUCUUGGCAGCA